rnacentral:rRNA from 1 species
GCACGGGUGCGUAACGCGUAUGCAAUCUACCUUAUACAGGGGAAUAGCCCAGAGAAAUUUGGAUUAAUGCCCCAUAGUGUUAUUGAAUCGCAUGGUUUAAUAACUAAAGUUCCAACGGUAUAAGAUGAGCAUGCGUCCCAUUAGUUAGUUGGUAAGGUAACGGCUUACCAAGACAAUGAUGGGUAGGGGUCCUGAGAGGGAGAUCCCCCACACUGGUACUGAGACACGGACCAGACUCCUACGGGAGGCAGCAGUGAGGAAUAUUGGUCAAUGGGCGCAAGCCUGAACCAGCCAUGCCGCGUGCAGGAAGACGGUCCUAUGGAUUGUAAACUGCUUUUAUACAGGAAGAAACCCUCCCACGUGUGGGAGAUUGACGGUACUGUAGGAAUAAGGAUCGGCUAACUCCGUGCCAGCAGCCGCGGUAAUACGGAGGAUCCAAGCGUUAUCCGGAAUCAUUGGGUUUAAAGGGUCCGUAGGCGGUCUUAUAAGUCAGUGGUGAAAUCCCAUCGCUCAACGUUGGAACUGCCAUUGAUACUGUAAGACUUGAAUACUUAGGAAGUAACUAGAAUAUGUAGUGUAGCGGUGAAAUGCUUAGAUAUUACAUGGAAUACCAAUUGCGAAGGCAGGUUACUACUAAGUGAUUGACGCUGAUGGACGAAAGCGUGGGGAGCGAACAGGAUUAGAUACCCUGGUAGUCCACGCCGUAACGAUGGAUACUAGCUGUUCGGAGCAAUCUGAGUGGCUAAGCGAAAGUGAUAAGUAUCCCACCUGGGGAGUACGCACGCAAGUGUGAAACUCAA